AAGAAGAAGAGUUUGAUCCUGGCUCAGAUUGAACGCUGGCGGCAUGCCUUACACAUGCAAGUCGGACGGCAGCACAGGUGGAAACACUGGGUGGCGAGUGGCGAACGGGUGAGUAAAACAUCGGAACGUAUCCUGUAGAGGGGGAUAGCCCGGCGAAAGCCGGAUUAAUACCGCAUAUGCUCAAAAGAGGAAGGCGGGGGACCGGAUGGGUGACCAUUGGGCCUCGCGCUAGAGGGGCGGCCGAUGUCGGAUUAUGCUAGUUGGUGGGGUAAGGGCCUACCAAGGCGGUGAUCCGUAGCGGGUCUGAGAGGAUGAUCCGCCACACUGGGACUGAGACACGGCCCAGACUCCUACGGGAGGCAGCAGUGGGGAAUUUUGGACAAUGGGGGCAACCCUGAUCCAGCAAUGCCGCGUGUGUGAAGAAGGCCUUCGGGUUGUAAAGCACUUUUGUCCGAGAAGAAAGGGCUCCGGUAAAUAAUCGGAGUGGAUGACGGUAUCGGAAGAAAAAGCACCGGCUAACUACGUGCCAGCAGCCCGCGGUAAUACGUAGGGUGCGAGCGUUAAUCGGAAUGACUGGGCGUAAAGGGUGCGUAGGCGGUUUGUCAAGACGGAAGUGAAAUCCCCGGGCUUAACCUGGGAACAGCAUACGUGACUGGCAGACUAGAGUAUGGCAGAGGGAGGUGGAAUUCCACGUGUAGCAGUGAAAUGCGUAGAGAUGUGGAGGAACAUCGAUGGCGAAGGCAGCCUCCUGGGCCAAUACUGACGCUCAGGCACGAAAGCGUGGGGAGCAAACAGGAUUAGAUACCCUGGUAGUCCAUGCCCUAAACGAUGUCAACUAGUUGUUGGGGAUUCAUUUCCUUAGUAACGAAGCUAACGCAUGAAGUUGACCGCCUGGGGAGUACGGUCGCAAGAUUAAAACUCAAAGGAAUUGACGGGGACCCGCACAAGCGGUGGAUGAUGUGGAUUAAUUCGAUGCAACGCGAAAAACCUUACCUACCCUUGACAUGGCCGGAAACCUGAAGAGAUUCGGGUGUGCUCGCAAGAGAACCGGCACACAGGUGCUGCAUGGCUGUCGUCAGCUCGUGUCGUGAGAUGUUGGGUUAAGUCCCGCAACGAGCGCAACCCUUAUCCUUAGUUGCUACGCAAGGGCACUCUAAGGAGACUGCCAGUGACAAACUGGAGGAAGGUGGGGAUGACGUCAAGUCCUCAUGGCCCUUACGGGUAGGGCUUCACACGUCAUACAAUGGUCUGUACAGAGGGAUGCCAACCUGUGAAGGGGAGUCAAUCCCAAAAAACGGAUCGUAGUCCGGAUUGUAGUCUGCAACUCGACUGCAUGAAGCUGGAAUCGCUAGUAAUCGCGGAUCAGCAUGCCGCGGUGAAUACGUUCCCGGGUCUUGUACACACCGCCCGUCAUACCAUGGGAGUGAGUUUUACCAGAAGCCAUUAGCCUAACCGUAAGGAGGGCGAUGGCCACGGUAGGACGCAUGACUGGGGUAAAGUCGUAACAAGGUAGCCGUAUCGGAAGGUGCGGCUGGAUCACCUCCUUU
rfam:Candidatus Glomeribacter gigasporarum BEG34, WGS project CAFB01000000 data, contig: Contig1844rna-1692